AUGUGAUUCUUCUAAAUGACACCAUCAGAGAGUGGGCAAGAUUGGCCGAUUUUCAAUCUCAGAAGGCUGACAACCCCCAGCUUCUCAUUGUUCAUCUUCUUGCUCCCACCUGCUUGCCUGCCGAUGUGUUCACAUUUUGUUAGAUCCAGCCUCCAAAGGUGGGCUGAGCCUUGCUACUUGACACCUCUAAUAAGAAAAAUUCAGUGGAGGAGGAUUUGAAAUUGCUGGUUACAUUGGGUGUUUGUGCUAUCUGUGGAUUUUAAUUACCAUUCCUUCCCUAAUCUCUCCCUGAAAAGCAAGAAUUGACUCUUAUGAUGGAAAUUAAUCGGAACUAAUCUGCAGCUUCUCUUUUACUAUAACCCACAGACCUAAGGGGUUGGCAAAUCAGAGUGGAAUUUUCCUGGGAAUCCAUAUACUGAAGAAUAGAACCAGAUUUUAAUAACUUCAAAGCGGCGCCAAGUUUGUGCUUGCCCUGGCUCUUCAAAUAAGUGAGGUUUUGAAUAUUUAAGACUGAAUGAUCAGAUUUCUGGAAUACUGUUUCUGUCCUGACAGUUGAUACUCUUUGUGGUUUGGGCAGAGGCCCCUACAUGUCUGGCCCACUGCCUCCAUAUGGAAAAUUACAACUAAGACCUAUCCUUUGGGAAUGCAAAGAUAAGCUCUGCAGUACUGCAGAUUAAAGAAAAUGGAAUGUCAUUCAGAAGUCUAGAGGAAGGUCCUGUUUCUGAAAGUGAUGUACUCCAUGAACCGGAAGAGAAUUCUAAACUACUGUUUUGCGUCUUCGUUAGGACAUAAGAAGACAUGGCUUUUAUGAAGUAGGAGUGAAAAAUUAUGAAGAAAGAGCAGGUAGCAAUGGAGGGAGAGCAGAAUGAAAUAAAGAACUAUUGUGAGGAAUGCAAGGACACAUGGUGAUGUGAUGAAAAGAAGACCAGCUGUGGUCACACAACAUCUAAAAGUUAUUGAUGUUGCCAAGAAAAGAGCAAAGCCAGUUGGAACAGAUGCAAGAACCAAAGAUGUCAUCUUUCAUCAUAGAUGCAUAAAGCAAACUCUCACACUUUCAUCAAAGAUGUGUAAUUACCAGGUUCUCACAUCCAUGAAGCUUUGCCCGAACACUAUUUGUUCAGUAACGGAGUAAGAGCCUACUGUGUAACAGACUCUGUGUUGUGGACCAAGAUAAAAUGGUCAUCUCUCUCCUGUGGUCCCUUCCACACCCAGUCCCCAACUCUACCAUGCCACCUACAACAUUCUGCUGUUUGUAACCAUUAACAUUUCUGCCCUGCAACAGAAAUGUGGGGUCCUAGAGGGCAGGAUGGUAAUUUGCCCAUCUCUAUGUUCUCAGAAUCUAAUACAAAAAAAGUUUCUUGACUGAAUAAUGAAGUGCAUGAAUAAAACAUCAGCAGAUUGACC
rnacentral:lncRNA from 1 species